rnacentral:misc_RNA from 1 species
GAUGAAGAACGCAGCGAAAUGCGAUAAGUAGUGUGAAUUGCAGAAGUACCGUGAAUCAUCGAAUCUUUGAACGCAAAUUGCACUCUCUGGUAUUCCGGGGAGUAUGCCUGUUUGAGGGUCGCUUAACAAACCAUCGAUUUCGUUGCUUUUUUUUUUAAAGUGAUGUUUAUCGGAUUUCAGCCGUCUUUUUUUUUAUAUUUAAGUGGCUUAAAAUUGAUUUUUUUGGUACGAUCGAAGCGUAUUUUUAUGAUCAAUUUUUGGUUAAAGAAACGCACACGUACCGUUAUUUAUAUGAUGUAAUACGUUUGACUAUUGGAUUUAGUUCAUUCGUAUACGAUAUCUUUCAAUAUUUGACCUCAAAUCAGGUAAGAACACCCGCUGAACUUAAGCAUAUCAAUAAGCGGAGGA